GACGAACGCUGGCGGCGUGCCUAAUACAUGCAAGUCGAGCGGACGGAUGGGAGCUUGCUCCCAGACCGUCAGCGGCGGACGGGUGAGUAACACGUGGGCAACCUGCCUGUAAGACUGGGAUAACUCCGGGAAACCGGGGCUAAUACCGGAUAACUCUUUCCCUCACAUGAGGGAAAGCUGAAAGAUGGCAUCUCGCUAUCACUUACAGAUGGGCCCGCGGCGCAUUAGCUAGUUGGUGAGGUAACGGCUCACCAAGGCGACGAUGCGUAGCCGACCUGAGAGGGUGAUCGGCCACACUGGGACUGAGACACGGCCCAGACUCCUACGGGAGGCAGCAGUAGGGAAUCUUCCGCAAUGGACGAAAGUCUGACGGAGCAACGCCGCGUGAGUGAUGAAGGUUUUCGGAUCGUAAAACUCUGUUGUCAGGGAAGAACAAGUACCGGAGUAACUGCCGAUACCUUGACGGUACCUGACCAGAAAGCCACGGCUAACUACGUG
rnacentral:rRNA from 1 species